rnacentral:piRNA from 1 species
UNGAAGGGCAAGUCCCCAGGGCCAGGU